rnacentral:rRNA from 1 species
AGAAGCAUCGGUGAUGCGUAGGGUGCGAACGUUAUCCGGAUUUACUGGGCGUAUAGAGAUGCGUAGGCGGCUUAUUAAGUCAGUGGUGAAAGCCAACAGCUCAACUGUUGAACUGCCAUUGAUACUGAUAAGCUUGAGUACAGACGAGGUAGGCGGAAUUGAAGAUGUAGCGGUGAAAUGCAUAGAUAUCUUCAAGAACACCGAUUGCGUAGGCAGCUUACUAGGCUGUAACUGACGCUGAGGCACGAAAGCGUGGGGAGCG